rnacentral:rRNA from 1 species
GACGAACGCUGGCGGCGUGCUUAACACAUGCAAGUCGAGCGGAAAGGUCCUUUCGGGGGUACUCGAGCGGCGAACGGGUGAGUAACACGUGAGUAAUCUGCCCCUGGCUUUGGGAUAGCCACCGGAAACGGUGAUUAAUACCGGAUACGACCACUUCUCGCAUGGGAUGGUGGUGGAAAGUUUUUCGGCCAGGGAUGUGCUCGCGGCCUAUCAGCUUGAUGGUGAGGUAAUGGCUCACCAUGGCUUCGACGGGUAGCCGGCCUGAGAGGGUGACCGGGCACACUGGGACUGAGACACGGCCCAGACUCCUACGGGAGGCAGCAGUGGGGAAUAUUGGACAAUGGGCGGAAGCCUGAUCCAGCAACGCCGCGUGAGGGAUGACGGCCUUCGGGUUGUAAACCUCUUUCAGCAGGGACGAAGCGCAAGUGACGGUACCUGCAGAAGAAGCACCGGCCAACUACGUGCCAGCAGCCGCGGUAA